CAAGUAAAGAUGAUUCCAUUAUUCCGAGUCUUGACGUCACUGACAUUGCACCAAGUAGAAAGAGGAGGCAGCGAAUGAUGAGAAACCUUGGGACAGAACCCAAGAUGGCUUCUCAGGGUCCUAAGAUGGCUUCUCAGAGGCAGCAGCUUCCAGGCAAGGAAAUGCUUGACUCUUCACCACCUGAGACAUUGAAAGAGGAGCGCAUCUCGGCUGAAGACAUGUCUUUAGAAAUGCUAAGAAACAGCAACCCAGAAGACCUCUUUGAUGAGAUUUAACAGUCUUAAAAAGUAUUUUGAUGUUUGCUAGUCUGUGUUUUCUAUUUAUAUCUUAAAAAUGAAAAAAAUAAAAUUUCAACUCAACUGCAGCUAUUACUGCACCUCACAGUUUAAUUGCAUGUACCUGAAGAGUUGAAGCCAUUGUGCAAAAUGGAUUGGAUUAUACUUGCUUAUGAAGAUGUGAUUUGAUGGUGGUGGUACCUUAUUCUAAACCAUCCAUUCAGCAUGCCUAUAAUUACAGAAAAUUUCAGACUUUUUGUUGCAAAGGACACAUUUAUCCUGUUCAUUCACACAUUAUGUGGUAGCUAUAUAACAUUUUGUCCAGGAAGAUUUGGGGAAAAGCACAAAGAAAACAUCUUUUUUAAACAUCUGCAGUUCUUUUUGAAUAGUCAUUUUCUGAACAAUGAUGUUUGAGCAUUUUACUCGGUGGCAUGUUAUAUAAAAUCUGAAAAAUAAAAUUUUUGAUAUAUUGGA